CACACGCUCAAAGUAUGACAGAAUGUACAUCAUAUUGCGUCUGAUAAACGUGACAAAUACAACUUUCAACAACGGAUCUCUUGGCUCUCGCAUCGAUGAAGAACGCAGCGAAAUGCGAUAAGUAAUGUGAAUUGCAGAAUUCAGUGAAUCAUCGAAUCUUUGAACGCACCUUGCGCUCCUUGGUAUUCCGAGGAGCAUGCCUGUUUGAGUGUUAUGAAAUUCUCAACUG
rnacentral:rRNA from 2 species